rnacentral:rRNA from 1 species
ACUCAAAGGAAUUGACGGGGGCCCGCACAAGCGGAGGAACAUGUGGUUUAAUUCGAUGAUACGCGAGGAACCUUACCCGGGCUCGAACGGCCGUUGAAUAUGGAUGAAAGUUCAUAGUCGCAAGACAAUGGUCGAGGUGCUGCAUGGUUGUCGUCAGCUCGUGCCGUGAGGUGUCGGCUUAAGUGCCAUAACGAGCGCAACCCUUACCGUUAGUUACCAGCAUUCAAAGAUGGGGACUCUGGCGGGACUGCCACCGUAAGGUGAGAGGAAGGCGGGGAUGACGUCAAAUCAGCACGGCCCUUACGUCCGGGGCUACACACGUGUUACAAUGGGAGGGACAGCAGGCAGCUACUCCGCGAGGGGAUGCCAAUCCCGAAACCCUCUCCCGGUUCGGAUCGGAGUCUGCAACCCGACUCCGUGAAGCCGGAUUCGCUAGUAAUCGCGCAUCAGCCAUGGCGCGGUGAAUACGUUCCCGGGCCUUGUACACACCGCCCGU